UUGAGUAGAAAUCACAACACACGGGAGUUUGGUUUACGUAUGUGAUUACUUGUUAGGCCAACAUUGUUUAUGAAAUGUCCUUAUAUCUAAUUCUAGAUUGGUUCUAACAUUUCCUCAAAAGUUUAAGAAUGAAAUACAUCUAGACUAAUAAGAAUAUUUUCAAAUACUUUGGAGAUCUAGACGUCAUUGUGUGUGUAGUCAUAAAAAAAAAUCUGGCAAUCAAGAGUUUUGAAUUGAAUUGGAUCUGACUAACUUACUUGGCAGUCGUAUGGAUCUCAUGAACAUUUGUUAUAAUGUUAUGUGACAUUAUGUCAAUUUUAUUGCAAAGUUAAUAUUUCAAGAAGUCCACUUGGAGCUCUUAGAUAAACCUAGCAUCUAGGCCUACUAUAAUCCAUCGCCGUAGAUCAAGUCAUAAUCAUUCAUAAAAAAUUUAAAGGGAGUAGUGUUUGACUGUACCUUGAAACCAUCAUCUACAUUGAAUAAGUUUAAAGUUUGACUAAACUUUGUUUUGAAUGCACCUGUGAUGUUUUAAAAGAUUUGUUUGUGUUACUGACUUCAUCAAAUGAAGAUUCAGAUCUGAAGGUCAAUUGUUGGUGUCAAGGUUCAGGUACUUUGGAUCAAUGUUUGACAGAAAAGCCUGAAGGAGUCGUGUGUUUAUCAUCACUCCUUAUGACUGAGGGCUUGAGAAGCUCAAAUCUUUUUCAAAAAGCCAUGAACCAACUUUUGCUGUUAUGUGCAAUGCACCUCACUAUACAAGUCAAAAGCAUGUAUCUUUCCAGACAUCCUGUUUUGUAAACAAGGCUCAAGCUAUAUUUAAAUUUCAAGUUCUUAGUUAUCAAAGGAUCAAUGCAUCAUUUGGAAGACAAAUCACAAAUUCAAGACACAAGCCAUUUCAAGAGAAAUUUAAACUUCCUAGUAUUAUCUUUUGUAUUUAAAAUGUACAAAAAUCAAAUCUUUACUAGCACUAUGAGUAAUAUUAUUCUGAUCAAUGUUUAUGUCAACUGUCACAUUCUUAAAUAUAGACAUACUUCUUAUAUAGCCACUUAUCUAUUAACAUUAUUAUUUUAAUUUUAUUAUGUCAACUUAUUACACUAUAAAUUAGAAUGUCUUGUGUACUUAAUUUGUAGACUUAUUUCUAAACUGUUUACUUUUAAAAUUAGUUUAGUCACAUCCAAGUCUGAAUUUCUUGUACACAUUUAAUGAAUACACAGGAUUUGUAUAAAAUAUUGGGCCGUUUUAAACUUCUCUGCGCAAUUCUCCAUGUAUGCAUUUUUCUAGACAUCCAAUUGUUCUAAUUGAUGUCCCCAUUUCUUUUAAUCUCAACUUUGGUCAUUAUACAAAUUAUAGCAUAUAAUUCUUUCUGCUUAAUCUCUUGUGAAAUCAGCCUCUACUUCCUUUGGCUGCAUUGCUUAUAAAAUCAUAGCCUUUAUGCUUCCCGCUGCUGAAUUGAUUGGGAAAUGAAAUUUGAUUUUGACACUAACUGGGCCAGGCAAAUUGUACAGAUUUUCUGAAGUUUGUCUGGUUAGUGCCUUAAAUAUAUUAAUAUAUAGUUGACUACAAGUUCUUUUAAAUUAAGCCUUGAAUACUAUAUAUUCAUCCAUAACAAUCUUGAAAUGACACUCAUUGCAGAUUGAUCGUAUUGUAUUUAAUUUUUCUAAUGUCACAUUCUAUCAAGUGCACAGUUCCUUCUACACAUUUUUCUACCUUAGCUACUAACUUUGUCAGUAUGCAUGAAUGUUACUUUCAAGUGCAUUUUUCUUGACAUCCAAUAGUUCUUCUUUCCCAUUUUUCUGCAGAGUGGGGAAUGUGCAUUUUUCUUGUUUUACAGUAAUUGGAUCAUGACAUCCUAUUACAGAAUUAUUUCAUAAAUUUGUCUGUCUGGCUAAUGGCCACCUUUUUUAUAUAUUCUUUGCAAGUUAAGAAAUUUCUUUCUUAAUUACUCCUCUUUAAAUUCCUGAAUGCUACAUUAAUCUUGGCAUGAAUUCUCUACAAAACAGCUUGUCAAAUGAAAUAAAUUCAAUUUCAAUAUUGCAUAGUGUCCUGAGUAUGACGUUAAACUGCUCCUCUUUGUUCGUUACUUUUGGAGCUUAAAAGUUUCUCUUUUUCUUUCCUUUCACCAGUCUGUCUCAUCUUCUCUAGUGUCUGCCUACUUAAUCAACAAUCUGUCUUCCUUUUCUUACAAAUUCUAAACCUUUUCCAUGUGGUCUGAAGAGAUGUUUAGUCUCACAUGGACAAUGUACAUAAGUGUAUAUAGUUAACAUUUUUGUUCUUUUAAAUCUACUUAUUUUGUUAGUCUUUAAAAAACAAACGUGUACGUAACUAGGUCAUAAGCUCAGUCAAAUGUUCAAAUGUGUUUUUAGCUCAGACUUAGCUAUGUCUUUUAAACUUGUUAUUGAACUAAAUUGUUUAUGCCUAUAAAACAUGCAUUGAAGUACAUUUGUACUGGUUGUGGUCUAGUUUCCCUAUAAGGUUGUAUUAUUUAAGAAGAGUUAACUUGUAUGGUGGAUGGUAGUCUCCUGUUGAUAAGUUUAUAUAAGUGGUGUGGCCGGCAACACUGCUUGUAUAAAUGAAUCCUCAGGGACUUUACUCUCCCUGUACAGUUGAUCAUUCAAAGAUAAUACAGCACAUUUGAGUGGAACUGACACAUCUCUAGAUAUUGUUAACACAAAAUGUGCAGGCUAGAGACUUCAUCUUUCAAUAUAUGAUCUAAUGUAGAAGUUAACUAAAUGUUCAAAGAUUGUCAGUGACAUUGUUGUGAAUAAUUUAAUCAAAAAGUUUUUUUCAUUUUUGGAGAUCUUUGUUCCAAGCGCUAUUUUGUUUCCAUUGUUCUUCUAUAAUAGUCAAUAGUUUUAUAUUUCUACUUUGUAUAUACAUUGUGUGCAAUUUGUUUUCAAUGAGCAUACUUUUCACAAGUUGAAACAGAUUUUCUUGUUUAUUAAUAUAUUAUUUCAUUGUAUUUCAAUGUCGCUAUUUAUGUUUUCAAUGAGCAUACUUUUCACAAGUUGAAACAGAUUUUCUUGUUUAUUAAUAUAUUAUUUCAUUGUAUUUCAAUGUUGCUAUUUAUGUUUUCAAUGAGCAUACUUUUCACAAGUUGAAACAGAUUUUCUUGUUUAUUAAUAUAUUAUUUCACUGUAUUUCAAUGUCCCUAUUUAUGUUUUCAGUGAGCAUACUUUUCACAAGUUGAAACAGAUUUUCUUGUUUAUUUGUAGAUUAUUUCAUUUUACUAUCGACUGUUAAGUCUUUGAUAUUUGAUCCUAUGUACUAGUAGCAUUUUUUGCUUUUUGUUGACAAAGAUGUGUAUUAACACACUUGAUUUCUUGCAAGCUGUACUUUGUAUGUGUAGCUUUGACUUUUAACUGUUAUUCAAACGGUGCUUAAUAGUUGGGAGUUUCUGGCCUUUAUACUACUUUGUUUUGACAGUGUGCCUUACAUUCAUUGGUCUACUUAUAGACAUACCAUUUUCAUGUUAACAAGAUUUAUGUACUAUUUUUAAAAUCUUUCAACAUAUGACACACAUUAGACUCAUUUUAUAUUGGCAUCGCACUGAAUUGAUACAACACUGGUUAGAGUAAUUAGGCUUUGAAGACAACACACACAUACAUUUACAUAGAAGCUACUCCACAAAGUAAAAGGACUCUAACAUAUAUAUUAAGAACAGCACCACACACACACACAAAUACACAUAACCACACACUGCAUCUUUCUUUGCCACACUAAACACAAAAGACUAAGACCAGGUGAUUACUUUGUCUACAUGUAACAUUUGACCAAGUGUUCAUUGAUCAGAAAAUGUUUAUAUGCUUGCUUACUUUUACUUUUAAUUGAAAGUUACGAGUCAAUUAUCUUUUGUCCAUUUAGGAAGAUUUUUUUUUUCAAAUUGUUCUCUUUUUAAAGACAUUUGUUCUCUAUUCAUUCUACUCCUAGUUAGUUUGCUCUUCUAAACAUUUUUAGUUUGCUCCUUAACAUUUUUAGUUUGCUCCUAAACAUUUUUAGUUUGCUCUUCUGAAUUUCAUUUUGCAUUCUAUAAACAAAUUUCAGUUCCCUACAAACUUCUUGUCUGACUUGUUUCAUAAAAACUUUAUUUCUUGACAUUGUCUACUAGAUCAGUUCAAUCAAUGUCUUAACAUUUUUUUUUAUAGUCAAAACUGUUUGGACUUUCUUGAAUGCUUCAUUGAAGAAAAAAAAUCUUGAAGUUUUACCAGAAUAGCAUUGGUAUUAUUUUAUGUUGCUUGCAGAAUUUGAGAACUUUGUCCUGAGUCAAGACAUUAAACUGCUCCUCUUUUCUGGCACUUUUGGAGCUCAAAAGUUCCUCUUUUUACUUUCCUCCUUUCUACAACUAGUUGAUCUUUUCCUUUGUCAUCUCACCUUAACCAAGUUUCUCAAGUUUUCUUCAGUAAUUUUUUUUUUCCGGUGUGUAGCAAUUAAAUAGCAGAUUAUUUAUAGCAUCUCAUCCCAUCUUUAUAGCAAGUCUCUGUUACUAAAGUCAAGAAAUCUUUUUUUUUUUUUUUCAGUCAUCUUAUUAUUGUUGUAGGGUUAGAGAUCCAUCGUUAGCUGGCCGUAGCGAUAGGGUUUCCACCUAGCAACUUUUUUCCAUUGAUAUUUAAGGUUCUUUAUAGGUUGUAUUUAGUCUUUUAACUCUAGAAACCAUUUCAAGUUUGCAAGCUUGUCUUCUGGUCUUCAACAUUUAAUAUUAUUUCAAUCUACUCCAACAAUCCAGCAGCUCUGCUUUGUGAUCAUGGAGCAUUGAGACAUGAAAUAAUUCAAUAUUCUUUAGUCAAUUUGUCUAGGGAGGGUGGGGCUUGAGGUUCAAGUGGUUGGUUGUAAUUGCUAGAUCUAAUAAAUCAAUGAAAGUUGGCCAAGUUAACUUUUUUUACUGCUAUAAAAUUGCAUUUUAGGUUUUUUAGCUGAAUUAACUUUUACAAAUUAUUUUAACUUGUUUUUAACUUGAUUAAUUUUUAACAUGGCCAUUUUUGUGGCCAUGAACAAUAUCUAGUCCACUAUUUUGUCUGCUUUGUGUGUGCGCAAGCCCUCUCCAGCUAACCCCACAUCCAUUGAGGAUUUUGUAUACGUUUCUGUUUUGUUGGCUCAUGUUUUUGUGUUUGAUUAAAACCCUUAUUUGGAUUUUUUAUUUUUUUUGUUAGCUGCUGGAACUUAUAUUUAUUUAGCAUUUACCUUAACUUGGAAUUCUUUUACUUGUUUUUUUUUUUUGGUAGUAUUUUCAGGAUAGGAUUUAGGAUUAGGUUUUAUGUUGCUAGUUUAGUGUUUGUGUGUUAGGGUGAGGUUUUAUGCUAUCUAGAUAUAUUUUCCCUAUGAAAGUCCCUGGCGUAGAUUGAAUGCUCGCAAACUUUGAGAGAGUUUGACACAGUGGAAUAUUUUCUUUCUAAAUGAACUGUUGACUUUUGGUUUGCCUCUCCCCCUCUCCCUUGAGAAACUAUUCUACAGCAGAGAGCACACACUAUGUCUUUGUGUAUGUAUGUGUGUGUGCUCUCUGUGUGAGCAACCUCUCUCCAGCUAACGUCCAAAUAAGGGCAUGUUUUGUUUUUGUUGUUUCAUUUUUGUCUGUUUUGUUUUAUAAGUUUGUUUUUGUCUUUUUUUUUGUCUUGUUUUUACGUCUGAAAUCCUUUCUGGGUGGUUUUAUUUUUUUUUGUUAGCUGCUGGAACUUAUAUUUAUUUGGCAUCAGCCUUCGAUCAAAAUUAUUUCGUUUCAUUAUUUGGUGUCUUAGCAGGUUAGGAAGUAGCUUAGUUUGUUUUUUGGGUUCACAGUUGUGCUGUAUGCCAUCUAGAUAUAUUUUCCUUAUGAAAGUCCCUGGCGCGGUUUGAAUACUCGAAAACUUUGAGAGGGUUUGACACUGUAAAAUAUUUUCCUCCAAAACUCUUCCAACACGUUAUUGACUCUAUUUUUGGUUCCUUCUUACCCCACCUCCCCUUUGGAAAAUAUUUUAUAAAUCAGAGCAGACAAGAUACUUCCAUUUUUUGUUUUAAAUUUUGUUUUGAUUGAUACAUUUUUUUACUUUUCUCAUUAUCCUCUUUGUCCAUUCUUCCUCAUUUAAAUGUCUACUAGAUACUUGUAGAUGUAUUGCUUGGUAUUUGGAUGUACUGUUUGGUCUACACGAAAGUCUACACCAAGCAGUAUUUCCAUACAUCUAGCAAUGCAUCUGUAAGUAUCUAGCAGACAGUUUCAUGGGGAAGAGUGGCCUAAAGCAAGAUUAUUGUGCGGAUGAGCAAUAUGGGUUUUCAUAGUAAUAACUUUCAUUUAUUUCUUUAGAUAACAUUAAGUCAAUAUCUAAAUUUUAUUUUAAAACAUUAAUUUAGGACAUGGUACAUCUAAAAACUUCUACACUCUUUAUGAAGUUUCUCUUACAAUCUGAUGUAGUCAACUACUACUACUCUAUUUAAGUGUUGAACCAGUUCACAAGCUUGCAGAUUUAGUUGAAGCUUUAACUUUUUUUUUUUUAAGUAUAUACUAAAAAGUGUUGGUGUUGACAUUGUUAGUAAAAGACUUGUCCUGAGACAAAGACGUUAAACUGCUCCUCUUUUCUGACACUUUUUGGAGCUCAAAAGUUCCUCUUUUUACUUUUCUACUUUCUACUAGUUGAUCUUUUCCUUUGUCAUCUCACCUUGAACCACGUUAGUUUCUACAUUUCUAAAUCUGUUGUAUUUGUAGGCAUUUUUUUGUGUUUUAGAAAGUAUUUCAAAUAGCUUUCAAUUAGCAGCAGAUUAUCAUUGCAUUCUAUUAUCUUGAUAAAAAUUCUGUCUUCAUGUAGGUAUAUGGCUAAAAUGAUUUGUACAUAUUAUUGGUGGAACUCUUUCCACAUUUUUCUUUGUUGGUAGCUGACUAAAUGGAUUUAUUCAAUUUUUGUUUUGUUUGGACACAGUCUUACAUUCUGUUUUCCCCUGACAUGUGACAUCCAGUCCAACAAUUCCUGGACAUAUUUUCUGUAAAUGUUCUCUACUUCUGUGUAACUGCAAUAUUUGCCAGUUUCCAUGGUGAUUUUGUUCUAUUAAUUUUUCCCCUCAAAGCGUUCUUAUGAAAUAAGUUUUCUUCAAUGUCUGUGGAGCAGGUAGAGCAGUAUUCAGUGACUUACAAUUUUAGAGUUGAAAGUCUCUCAUUGUUUCCCCCUGACAUAAUGUGAGAUCCAGUCCAACAAUUCCUGGACACAAAAGUUCUGAACAUUUUCUUACAUUCUGUAUUCCCCAGUUUUCAUAUUUUUUUAUUUUUUUUAUUCCAAUGGAGCAGAUAGUUUUAGUCACUGGCUUUAUUUACAAUUCUUUUUCCUCAAUCUACUUUAUUCUAUUCAUUAUUGGUUUGGAUACAUUCUCAUUUUGUUUUUCCCUUAGACACCUAGUUCAACAAAUUCUAGACACUCUGUGUAUUAUGACUCUACUAAAUUGUUGGAUUGACUUGUUUGGUUAUUUUCUGAUCAUUUGUUAUAGUGUGUAUGAAAGCCACAAGUUUUAAAGAGCCUGGUCUUGUCUUUUUGUGUUCUUAGCUUAACAUUACAAACCAUUCAGUGUGUUCUUAGCUUGUAUUAACAUUACAAACCAUUCAAACAUUUAAUUAUAAUCAGCAUUCAGAGACAUGAACAUGUUAAUUCGAUCACAUUAAAAUCAUUUCAGUGAAUGUUCAACUUCUCAGUUCAAAUGGGACUAAAUUAUACUUAUCUGAAAAAUUGAACAAUGUUUUUUUAUAUUAAAACUUGAACAACAAAUAUUUCCAAGUAGUGACUGUAUACAAGUGACAAUUUAUUGUUCCAAUGUUUGUGUAAAUAAACCAU